rnacentral:rRNA from 1 species
AAUCAUCUUAGUAGGUUGAGGAAAAGAGAAUAAACAAUGAUUCCGAAAGUAGUGGCGAGCGAAAUUGGAACAGCCCAAACCUUAACAUAACCAUACGGUUUAACGGCCAGAGUUAUGAAAGGGGUUGUGAAAUUAGAUAAUUUUUAUGCUGAGUUAUUGGAAUAAUAGUUGUUCGGCUUAUAUUUAUUUCUGAGACCAUAUGCUCGGCCGAACGGCCUUGAGUGUGUCGAAGAAAUAAAAAUAAGCCAAAUACUACCAAUGUUCAGCAUAAAAACCAACAUCGUUAAAUGAGUGGAUAAUGAUAAAAUCCUUUAGAUCAUAGCAGAAGUGUUUGAAUGGCACACCAUAGAAGGUGAGAGUCCUGUACGCGAAAUGGUCUUAGGCAUUAUAUAUCUUUUUUCAAGUAGGACGGGGCACGAGAAACCCUGUUUGAAUCCGGCAGGACCACCUGCCAAGGCUAAAUAUAUUGAUUGAUCGAUAGCGAACUAGUACAGUGAUGGAAAGGUGAAAAGAACCCCGGGAGGGGAGUGAAAUAGAUCCUGAAACUUAGUGCCUACAAGGUGUCGGAGCAGCUUCGGCUGUGACGGCGUGCUUUUUGUAGAACGAUCCAGCGAGUUAAUGUUGUCGGCGAGGCUAAGUCAAAUGAUGGAGCCACAGUGAAAGCGAGCCUUAACAGGGCGAAUAGUCGGCAGUAUUAGACCCGAAACCGGGUGACCUAACCAUGAGCAGGUUGAAGCUGCGGUAACACGCAGUGGAGGACCGAACCAGGGUACGCAGUAAAGUGCUUGGAUGACUUGUGGUUAGCGGUGAAAUGCCAAUCGAACUCGGAGAUAGCUGGUUCUCCUCGAAAUAGCUUUAGGGCUAGCGUUGUGUUAGUAAUCAUCAGGGGUAGAGCUCUGAAAAGGUUUGGGGCCGGCAACGGUACCCACCCUUAUCAAACUACGAAUACUGGUGGUGUAACCACAGCAGUCAGAACGGCGGGGCUAAGCUCGUCGCUCAAAAGGGAAACAGCCCAGAUCAUCGUCUAAGGUCCCCAAUUAACACUAAGUGGGAAACAAAGUGAAAUUUCUUAAACAGCUAGGAUGUUGGCUUAGAAGCAGCCAUUCAUUUAAAGAGUGCGUAACAGCUCACUAGUCAAGAGAUUUUGCGUGGAAAAUGUAACGGGGCUAAAGUGUUAAACCGAAGACAUGGACUUCUGCCUAUGCAGGAGUGGUAGAGGAGCGUUGAUAUCGCAGUGAAGUCAGAUUGGAAAGUCUGGUGGAGCGUUAUCAAGUGAGAAUGCUGGAAUUAGUAACCUUAAGACAGGUGAGAAUCCUGUCGGUCGUAAGAGCAAGGUUUCCAGGGCUACAGUAAUUGCCCCUGGGUUAGUCGGUCCUAAGCCGAGGCGUAUCAGCGUAGGCGAUGGACAACAGGUUAAUAUUCCUGUACAGGUAGUAGUUGUGAACAGUUCACGGUGAAUGACUGGAGCGGAUUAAUGGUUUAUCCGUCCAAGUCUUUAGGGAACUAAAGAUGAGUGAAAGGUAAUCUUCGGAUUAUUGAUUCUGGGUGAAGCACUGGCUAGAAAAGCUGGUUCACUUAUGCUGCUGCCUACCGUACCGCAAACCAACACCGGUGCUCGGGUCGAGUAGACCAAGACCUACGUGAGAACCUUCGCUAAGGAACUCGGCAAAAAAGCGUCCGUAACUUCGGAAUAAGGACUGCCCUCUCAUUAAGAUGAGGAUUUGCUAGAAACUCAGCAGAAGAUUCAGAUUACCUUUUAACUGAAUUUUUCGUUGAGACAGAACACAAAACAGGAUUUGUUUAACAAAUUCGUGUCUUUUCUAGUAGUCUAAUCGUCAUUUUGAUGAGAGGGCCGCAGCUAAAGAGCCCACGGAACUGUUUACCAAAAACAUAGGUCUCUGCUAACGCGAAAGCGGAUGUAUAGGGGCUGACUCCUGCCCGGUGUCGGAAGGUUAAGGGGAGAGCUUUACGGUUCGAACUGAAGCCCCGAUGAACGGCGGCGAUAACUAUGAUCGUCCUAAGGUAGCGAAAUUCCUUGUCUGGUAAGUUCAGACCCGCACGAAUGGAGUAAUCAUGUGGGCACUGUCUCGGCGAAGGCCACGGUGAACGUGCAUUGGCGGUAAAGAUGCCGUCUGAUCAUGCCAGGACGAGAAGACCCCAUGGAGCUUUACUACAACUUUGCAUUGAUUAUUGGGACAUUUUGUGUAGAAUAGGUGGAAGACUUUGAAGCAGAUACGCUAGUAUUUGUGGAGUCGAAAUAUGAAAUACCACCCUGAAUGUUUUAGUAAUCUCACUUUUGACCUGAUCGGCCAAAAGGACCGUGCAUGGCGGGUAGUUUAACUGGGGCGGUUGCCUCCUAAAGAGUAGCGGAGGCGUUCA